ACUAAAUAGAUACCCGGGUAGUCCACGCCCUAAACGAUGAUUACUCGACAUACGCGAUACACAGUGUGUGUCUGAGCGAAAGCAUUAAGUAAUCCACCUGGGAAGUACGUCCGCAAGGAUGAAACUCAAAGGAAUUGACGGGGGUCCGCACAAGCGGUGGAGUAUGUGGUUUAAUUCGAUGAUACGCGAGGAACCUUACCUGGGCUAGAAUGCUAUCUGACUGUACCUGAAAGGGUAUUUUGUAGCAAUACACAGAUAGUAAGGUGCUGCAUGGCUGUCGUCAGCUCGUGCCGUGAGGUGUUGGGUUAAGUCCCGCAACGAGCGCAACCCCCAUCUUCAGUUGCCAGCACGUAAUGGUGGGAACUCUGAAGAAACUGCCGUCGUAAGACGCGAGGAAGGAGGGGAUGAUGUCAAGUCAUCAUGGCCUUUAUGCCCAGGGCUACACACGUACUACAAUGGGGAGGACAAAGGGCAGCGACCUGGUAACAGGAAGCAAAUCUCAAAAACCUCUUCUCAGUUCAG
rnacentral:rRNA from 1 species